AACGAACGCUGGCGGCAUGCCUAACACAUGCAAGUCGAACGAGACCUUCGGGUCUAGUGGCGCACGGGUGCGUAACGCGUGGGAACCUGCCUUUAGGUUCGGAAUAACUCUCCGAAAGGGGUGCUAAUACCGAAUAAUGUCUUCGGACCAAAGAUUUAUCGCCUUUAGAUGGGCCCGCGUUGGAUUAGCUAGUUGGUGGGGUAAUGGCCUACCAAGGCGACGAUCCAUAGCUGGUCUUAGAGGAUGAUCAGCCACACUGGGACUGAGACACGGCCCAGACUCCUACGGGAGGCAGCAGUGGGAAUUUUGCGCAAUGGGCUAACGCCUGACGCAGCAACGCCGCGUGGAGGAUGAAGGUCCUUGGAUUGUAAACUCCUGUCAGCAGGGAAAAAGCAACCUGACCUCAUACGUCAGGAAGUUGAUUUGUACCUGCAGAGGAAGCCCCGGCUAACUCUGUGCCAGCAGCCG
rnacentral:rRNA from 1 species